rnacentral:rRNA from 1 species
UGGGGAAUAUUGGACAAUGGGCGCAAGCCUGAUCCAGCAAUACCGCGUGUGUGAAGAAGGCCCUAGGGUUGUAAAGCACUUUUCAAUUGGGAGGAAAACCUGCCGGUCAAUACCCGGUAGCUUGACAUUACCUUUAGAAGAAGCACCGGCUAACUCCGUGCCAGCAGCCGCGGUAAUACGGAGGGUGCGAGCGUUAAUCGGAAUUACUGGGCGUAAAGCGUGCGCAGGCGGAUUGUUAAGCAAG